UCCUGCUUCUUCAAGGCUAUGUUUUCAUAUACACUAUAAAGUUACAGAAUGUCUUUUAACGAUUGCGCUUGUCGUAGUCAUUAAACCUAUACAACUUUCAGCAACGGAUCUCUUGGCUCUCCUAUCGAUGAAGAACGCAGCGAAAUGCGAUAAGUAAUGUGAAUUGCAGAAUUCAGUGAAUCAUCGAAUCUUUGAACGCACCUUGCGCCCUUUGGUAUUCCGAAGGGCAUGCCUGUUUGAGUGUCAUUAAAUUAUCAACCUUGCUCGCUUUUACCGGCUUGAGUUAGGCUUGGACUUGAGGGCUUGCUGGCUUCCUUCAGUGGAUGGUCUGCUCCCUUUAAAUGCAUUAGUGGGAUCUCUUGUGGACCGUCACUUGGUGUGAUAAUUAUCUAUGCCACUUGACCUUGAAGCAAACCUUAUGGGAACCCGCUCAUAACCGUCUUCGG
rnacentral:rRNA from 1 species